rnacentral:rRNA from 1 species
GAUCCUGGCUCAGAUUGAACGCUGGCGGCAGGCCUAACACAUGCAAGUCGAACGGUAACAGAAAGCAGCUUGCUGCUUUGCUGACGAGUGGCGGACGGGUGAGUAAUGUCUGGGAAACUGCCUGAUGGAGGGGGAUAACUACUGGAAACGGUAGCUAAUACCGCAUAACGUCGCAAGACCAAAGAGGUGGGACCGUUAGGGCCUCUUGCCAUCGGAUGUCGCCCAGAUGGGAUUAGCUAGG